AGUUGUUCUCAGUUCGGAUUGUAGUCUGCAACUCGACUACAUGAAGCUGGAAUCGCUAGUAAUCGUAGAUCAGCAUGCUACGGUGAAUACGUUCCCGGGUCUUGUACACACCGCCCGUCACACCACGAGAGUUUGUAACACCCGAAGCCGGUGGAGUAACCUUUUAGGAGCUAGCCGUCGAAGGUGGGACAAAUGAUUGGGGUGAAGUCGUAACAAGGUAGCCGUAUCGGAAGGUGCGGCUGGAUCACCUCC
rnacentral:rRNA from 1 species